rnacentral:rRNA from 1 species
UACGGAGGGUGCAAGCGUUGUCCGGAAUCACUGGGCGUAAAGGGCGCGUAGGCGGCUCAUGAAGGCUGUGGUGAAAGUCCGGGGCUCAACCUCGGAUCGGCCGUGGCGACUCGUGGGCUGGAGCACUGUAGAGGCGGGUGGAAUUCCGGGUGUAGCGGUGGAAUGCGUAGAGAUCCGGAGGAACACCAGUGGCGAAGGCGGCUCGCUGGGCUUUACCUGACGCUGAGGCGCGAAAGCGUGGGGAGCGAACCGG